CUGAAUUGAGACAACAUGGUUUAAACCCACAAUUGUUAUAGUAUAGUAUUUCAACUUUUCUCUAGAAUUAACCUGAGUAAGGACUGGUAUGCCAAUAGUAUUACAGUAUAUCCAUAUAGCUUUCAAGUCUCGUGGAUCUGGCGUCGAUUUUGGUUUCUGGACUGUCUUACAUCAGACCUUAAAUAUCACACAUUUUUUUUUCUAGGUAGGCCACUAUUACAGAUGAUCUGAAAUGUGCUCCUAAUUCACCUUAAGUUUUCUUCAAUGUUUUUUUUGCCUGUUCUGUAUUUUAUAGGAUCCAUUUUGUCUAGAUUUAUGCCAGCCAGACACAGCCCCUACACCAAAAGAAAGGAAAGCACUUGAAGACGCCAUGGACUCGGAAGAUAGUUUGCCUGUCAGAUCCAUCGACACCAAAAUGUUGGCAAAAGCAACAACUAGCAGAAGCUGGGCUUGGUGAAAAUAACAUAAAAGUACAUAACAGUAUAAAUCCGGAUGAAUUCCAGGAAGUAAUAUAUGCUAACUUUCCCAAGCUGAUGGAUGCUGGGGGUUUUGAGAUAAUAAUAUGCUUUGGGAGUGGAAAAAAGCUUACCCCAAUUAGGGGGCAUAUUCACCCCUGAAUAUAAAAUAUAAAUCAGGUCAAUGUAGAGUCUAUAUACGACCAAUUCAACAUGCACUAAACAUGGAUUUAGAAAGGAUAAAGAGGCAUAAUAUGAUCAGUUAUCAAUCAAUCAAUCAGUCAAAUUCACCUAUAUAGCGCAAGUAUCCAUUAAAUAAUAUUCAAAGGCGCUCGAGUUAUGUGUGAAUUUGAAACACAUCCUUAAGAAAGUUCUAAUAGAUAAAAUAUAAAAGACAGUUUAUAAAUGAUUAUUAAUACAUCAUUUUUAAUUGUUUACUCUUUUAGGAAAUGAGGACUCUGGAUUGACACAGAAGUGUCCAAAAUGCCAAAAUAACAUUUCAUUCUGUGUUUUAAAGAAACAUUUGGCAAGCUGUGCAAGUAGCAGACCUAGUCCUCCAUCAACAGUAUCCAUACCACCUGAAGAACAGGUUGAAGAAAAUGAUACAUUGUAUGAUCCAGACCUCACUCAUAGUCAUACUCCUAAUGAAGCUCAUGAAGGCGGAUCAAGAACUUCAGACGUCUACUUGAGCUGAACUGCACUACACUUACCGACCAAGCAGUAUGUGACAUUUUGUGUGCAGCUGACAGGGAAGAAUAUAAUAUAUUGUAAAUAAAGUAAUAUAAUGUAAAUAAUUAAAUAAGUAAAAAAUAAUUUAAUAUAUUUGUAAUUAAUGUAUAAUGCAGUAAUUGUUAUUAAACAGUUUCUAUGGUUCUAAUCAAUAAA